GGUGAGGCUCCUGAGGUCCAGAGACGACAAGCAACACGCCGAAGGUCACACAGUGGGCACACUCAGAAGCCAGCUGCGCACCCAGAAAUUUCCAUGUGAAAGACAGAGUCCUGGCAACACCAACUCGUGUCCUGGUACUUUCCCCAGGUUUUACUUCUAGAAACAUCCUGAAGGGAACCAGGAAAGGCCAGGCCACUGCAAAACCGGAAUUGCAAGGUAACGUGUGUGACAAAACACUGCAAGUUCCAGCACCUCCGCUAAUCAUGCUUCUAGGAUUAGUGCUCAUCUGUGCAUGUGCAACCCAUGUCUUGCCUACAAGAGCACUAAUUUCUCCUCCCUUUUUUUCACUUCCCCGGAGGAGUUUGAGUAUAUGUGUGUUGGGGGGAGGGGCAAGGAAGUUGGGGUCCGGGGGUGGAUUGGUUUUCUGUUUCUAUUUCAAACCCGUUGACAGUGAGUCCUGGAGGCACUGAAUCUCCUUGUGGCUGUUUCCCCAUCUGAAGCUAAGGUUGGCCUGGCCAGUUCACGUGGUUUGAGACUCAUGUCUCUGACACAGAAGGAUCAGGUAGUACACAGCCUAGGCGUCCUGGGUCCAAGUUCUGGUUCUAUCACUCACCAUCUACGUGCCCUUGAAAGGGAUAGAGCAGGCACAGGUAGUUGUAGGAGUCCCAGUAAGGGGUCAGAGAUAGAGAGGGAAACCUAGGGGCCUUCAGGAGGUCACUGUAAGUUAAUAAUUGCUCAAGAAAGCUGUCAGAGGAGUUCCCGUCAUGGCGCAGCGGAACUGAAUCCCAUUAGGAGCCAUGAGGUUGCAGGUUCAAUCCCUGGCCUCGCUUAGUGGGUUAAGGAUCUGGCAUUGCCGUGAGCUGUGGUGUAGAUUGCAGAUGUGGCUCAGAUCCUGUGUUGCUGUGGCUGAGGUGUAGGCCGGCAGCUGGACCCCUAGCCUAGGAACCUCUGUUAAAAAAAAAAAAGAAAAAGUCACCAGGACAAGGCAGGCUUGCUUGACCAGUGGCACGACUAGUGGAGGCACGAGAAUUGCCUCAGGUCAUUGGGUGGGGGAUGGGGUGAGGCCUGCAUUCAGGUUCAGACCAAGGGCAGGCGUUUAAGGACCACCUUUCUGCUGAUUUGAAUAAGCACCCCGACAGUCCUAGUUUGACCUUAUAGGGUCAAAUACUCCCUUACCGGAUACUAAGGAGGUGCUACCACUCAAAGAAAGAAGAAGAGGUGGCCUUUUCCGACCCCUACUCCCCUUGGAUGAUAAAACCGUAGCCCUUAAGAUCCUGGGGGCCGAGCCUCCUUGCCUGCCUGCUUGCAUCUCUCACAAGCGUCCUAUCUUAAUAAAUCUGUUUCUUGCCUAUCACUUUGCCUCUCGCUGAAUUCCUUCUGCUCAGAAGCAUGAAGAACCUGAACCUCCGUGAGUCUGGACACCGGGUGAGUGAUUCUAAUUUUAAACGGUGGGUUCAAGUCCCAAUCUGGCUUUAGGCGGUGUUCGAGUCUGCAUUGGGCUCUGGCUAGGUUCAGGCCAUUGGUGCUGUCAGUUUCAACCUAAGGUAAGAUACCGAAGUUUUCUGUGCCUCAAUUUCUUCGUUUGCAAAAACAGGGCUGAUAGUAAUAGGAAGUAUGUCGUAGGACUUCGGCUGCCUCUGUUCACCAAGGCUGAAGAGAAAUGCAGAGACAGAGUUGGAGGAAACAGAAAAAGUCGUUUUAAUUGCCAGGCAAAGAGGGGAACACAGCAGGCUCGUGCCUCAAGGACUGUGCCCCCCGUUGGAGGGGGUCGUGAGGGGGCGUAGAGUGCUUGAGGAGCUGGGCAUCAUCAAGUUCAUGGACAUUGUCCUGAUUGGUGGGUGGUGAGGUCAUUGGGAGCCCGCGUCAUCUGACUUCUGGGGUCUACGUGCUCUUGGGCAGCGUACAGUUGAUUUCUUCCAUCUGGUGGGGGCUUCGGCACCUGCCAAACAGCUCCAAGGACAUGGCUCAGAAUAUGACCUAUAGUCUUUGCAGAAGAACUCACUAAAGGCCCUUGACUUUGUUGAAUGGCUAAACUAUCAUUAUUCUGUCUUGCCUCUUGUCCUUUUUCUCUGUAUUUUCUCACUUCUCUGAUUAAAUUGAUUCUUUGGCUAAAGUUGUGCUAUAGAUAAAAAGGCAGGUGAAGGACAUGAGUGGGGGGUCACUCUGGGGAGGCCUCACAGCGUCCAGCUCAGUUAGACUUCUGUGAGAAUUAACUUAAUAAAGGCGGAGUUCCUGUAGUGGCUCAGCAGCAGCGAACCUGACUAGUAUCCAUGAGGAUGCAGGUUCAAUCUCUGGCCUCUCUCAGUGGGUUAAGGGUCCGGUGUUGCUGUGGCUGUGGUGUAGGCCGGCAGCUGUAGCUCUGAUUUGACCUCUAGCCUGGGACUAUAUGCCUCAGGUGUGGCCCUAAGGAAAAGAAAAGAAAAGAAAAGAAAAAAA
ensembl:lncRNA